CAAUGGGGUUCAAAACUCAUAUCCGUAAUUAUGAGGGUAGAAGGUCUUCAACGAAUAAGGCUUCACAUUUCUCUAUUAUUUUGGAAGUUUUUGAAGCAGCUCCCUCUUUUUUCAUGGUGGACAUUUAUAAGGCGAUUCAGUUGAAUUCCUCAAGGUAUGUGAUUUUGGCUUGGAAUUGUUGCAGAAAGGGACUUCUGG